GACGAACCGUGCGAACGUUGUUCGGAAUCACUGGGCUUAAAGGGCGCGUAGGCGGCGCGGCGAGUCCGGGGUGAAAGCCCCCGGCCCAACCGGGGAAGGGCCUCGGAUACCGCCGCGCUCGAGGGGGGCAGGGGCAGGCGGAACUUCCGGUGGAGCGGUGAAAUGCGUUGAGAUCGGAAGGAACGCCGGCGGCGAAAGCGGCCUGCUGGGCCCCCCCUGACGCUGAGGCGCGAAAGCUAGGGGAGCGAACGGG
rnacentral:rRNA from 1 species